rnacentral:RNase_P_RNA from 1 species
GUGUUUACGUAACCGCUCUGUUCACUGAACAGAGAGGAAAGUCCAUGCUCACACAAGCUGAGAUGCUCGUAGUGUUCGUGCUUGACGAAACCAUAAGUCAAGGUAGCUAAUACGUUAGCUAACGGCGGGGAAUCAGUCUAAGUCGUCAUGAUAGGACUGGAUUACCUUUAAUGUGCCACAGAGACGAACUUGAUUGGAAACAAUCAAGCUGGAACGCGGUAAACCCCACGAGUGAGCAACCCAAAUGAUGGUAGGGGCACUUUCUGCGGGGAAAUGAACCUAGCAGAAAGACAAGUUAAUUGACUUGUAGAUAGAUGGUUACGACCUAAGUACGAGGUUGACCACCGUUAGUAGUACAAAGGUACAGAACAUGGCUUACACGA